GAGCAUCAAACUAAAUAUACGUACUGUGCAUUCUAUGUUGCUACACACUGUUCAGUUUUUUGUUAAUUUUUAGAAUUAAAAAAGAAGUAAGCGAUUCACAUGUUGGAACUGCUACAUUAGUCUUCUAGAAUUUAAAUUAUCAAUAUGUAA
ensembl:ncRNA F07C3.12 ncRNA